rnacentral:rRNA from 1 species
UUGGAGGGCAAGUCUGGUGCCAGCAGCCGCGGUAAUUCCAGCUCCAAUAGCGUAUAUUAAAGUUGUUGCAGUUAAAAAGCUCGUAGUUGAACUUCGGGACCUGUGGGUUGGUCGUGCCUCCGGUACGUACUGGCUCUACCGGUUCCUCCCUUCUGAAGAACCACGAUGUCAUUAAUUUGGUGUCGUGGGGAAUCAGGACUGUUACUUUGAAAAAAUUAGAGUGUUUAAAGCAGGCUAAAGCUUGAAUAGAUUAGCAUGGAAUAACGAAAUAGGACGUUUGAUCUUAUUUUGUUGGUUUCUAAGAUCGACGUAAUGAUUAAUAGGGAUAGUUGGGGGCAUUAGUAUUCAAUUGUCAGAGGUGAAAUUCUUGGAUUUAUUGAAGACUAACUACUGCGAAAGCAUUUGCCAAGGAUGUUUUCAUUAAUCAAGAACGAAAGUUAGGGGAUCGAAGACGAUCAGAUACCGUCGUAGUCUUAACCAUAAACUAUGCCGACUAGGGAUCGGAUGAUGUUAAUUUUUUAAUGACUCAUUCGGCGCCUUACGGGAAAC